GGGGAUGUAGCUCAGUUGGUAGGGUGCUUGCCUUGCAUGCACAAGGCCUUGGGUUCAAUCCCAGUACCACUA
rnacentral:tRNA from 1 species